AUUAAAACACGUAAAGGUCUCAUUACAAUAUUUGAGCAAGGGGCCCUGGCCUCCAGUCUGAGUGCUGACCUCGAAGAGCCCCUGAGUGAGGAGGAGACAGAACACCCUCUCCUGCCUCUGCCCCGAGCCACUAAACCCAGAAUCUCCAGGAAAUUUCGUUGCUGUACUAGUGCCCUCAGCAGGUCUUCCCAUUAGUGGACUUCUGAAGCCCAUGGUGAAUCCCACUACAGUGUCUCAGAUGGGACUCAAACUAGGCUAUAUCAUCUUGUCCUGAAACCUCACAAACCUUGGACUUCCAAAGAAGAAACGAAAAAGUCACCAAAAACCAGAGAUGAACCCACUGACACAUGGGCAUUGGUGUGCCUGCCCUGGGCAGAUCACAGCAGGAAAAGAUUCUGCGCUUUCAGGGAGGGGGCAGAGGGCAGCUGGCUUCUGUACCUCAAGUUGUUUCUUCUCAUUUAUGAACCCAAGCAUGAUUCACAAAGGGGCUGGCAAAACCAUUGUCUGAUUGAGGAAUGUGAUCGGCAUUGAUUUUGCUAGUUCCUUUUAUGUUAGGAUUUGUGGUUUACUCAAAAAUUUCAUCAUCAUGGAAAUUGGCUUUCCCCAGGGUCUUUUGCCCAGGAGAAGUUUUACCUCAGUUGUCCAGUGUUUUCCCACAUGGUACCUGACGUCCGCUAACUGAGCAGAGAUUCUCCUCACCACGCAGAGGCCCUUCAGGUCAUGACAGUGAUGCCCCUAUCUUAGAACACUCAGAAGAUUCCAGAAAUACAGGGUCCUGUCCUUGCAUAAGUUCCUGCAGGACAGGAAGCGUCCCAGGGCUCAAAACAGCACAGACCACAUCCACACAAAAGGUGCAUGCCAGCUUCGGGCACUAGGCUGAGACGGGCACCCCUCGAAUGGCCUUGUGCCUCUAAAAGCCUCACGCUGCAACUUUGCUGCUCCUGUCUGUUGCCCAGAGAGGCCUCAUACAGGCCUCAGAAAUGUUUCUUGUCACACAAAGCUUUAGGUAGCAGAUUCCAAGCAAGGGAUUUAAUCCUUACAUUUUUGCCCAUUUGGCUCCAAGGAAGGCUCAUUAGACCUGGUUUUUUUGUUUUUUUCUUUAAAAAAAAAAAAAAAA